rnacentral:rRNA from 1 species
AAAUUGAAGAGUUUGAUCAUGGCUCAGAUUGAACGCUGGCGGCAGGCCUAACACAUGCAAGUCGAGCGGUAGCACAGAGAGCUUGCUCUCGGGUGACGAGCGGCGGACGGGUGAGUAAUGUCUGGGAAACUGCCUGAUGGAGGGGGAUAACUACUGGAAACGGUAGCUAAUACCGCAUAACGUCGCAAGACCAAAGUGGGGGACCUUCGGGCCUCAUGCCAUCAGAUGUGCCCAGAUGGGAUUAGCUAGUAGGUGGGGUAAUGGCUCACCUAGGCGACGAUCCCUAGCUGGUCUGAGAGGAUGACCAGCCACACUGGAACUGAGACACGGUCCAGACUCCUACGGGAGGCAGCAGUGGGGAAUAUUGCACAAUGGGCGCAAGCCUGAUGCAGCCAUGCCGCGUGUGUGAAGAAGGCCUUCGGGUUGUAAAGCACUUUCAGCGGGGAGGAAGGCGGUGAGGUUAAUAACCUCAUCGAUUGACGUUACCCGCAGAAGAAGCACCGGCUAACUCCGUGCCAGCAGCCGCGGUAAUACGGAGGGUGCAAGCGUUAAUCGGAAUUACUGGGCGUAAAGCGCACGCAGGCGGUCUGUCAAGUCGGAUGUGAAAUCCCCGGGCUCAACCUGGGAACUGCAUUCGAAACUGGCAGGCUAGAGUCUUGUAGAGGGGGGUAGAAUUCCAGGUGUAGCGGUGAAAUGCGUAGAGAUCUGGAGGAAUACCGGUGGCGAAGGCGGCCCCCUGGACAAAGACUGACGCUCAGGUGCGAAAGCGUGGGGAGCAAACAGGAUUAGAUACCCUGGUAGUCCACGCCGUAAACGAUGUCGAUUUGGAGGUUGUGCCCUUGAGGCGUGGCUUCCGGAGCUAACGCGUUAAAUCGACCGCCUGGGGAGUACGGCCGCAAGGUUAAAACUCAAAUGAAUUGACGGGGGCCCGCACAAGCGGUGGAGCAUGUGGUUUAAUUCGAUGCAACGCGAAGAACCUUACCUGGUCUUGACAUCCACAGAACUUUCCAGAGAUGGAUUGGUGCCUUCGGGAACUGUGAGACAGGUGCUGCAUGGCUGUCGUCAGCUCGUGUUGUGAAAUGUUGGGUUAAGUCCCGCAACGAGCGCAACCCUUAUCCUUUGUUGCCAGCGGUUCGGCCGGGAACUCAAAGGAGACUGCCAGUGAUAAACUGGAGGAAGGUGGGGAUGACGUCAAGUCAUCAUGGCCCUUACGACCAGGGCUACACACGUGCUACAAUGGCAUAUACAAAGAGAAGCGACCUCGCGAGAGCAAGCGGACCUCAUAAAGUAUGUCGUAGUCCGGAUUGGAGUCUGCAACUCGACUCCAUGAAGUCGGAAUCGCUAGUAAUCGUAGAUCAGAAUGCUACGGUGAAUACGUUCCCGGGCCUUGUACACACCGCCCGUCACACCAUGGGAGUGGGUUGCAAAAGAAGUAGGUAGCUUAACCUUCGGGAGGGCGCUUACCACUUUGUGAUUCAUGACUGGGGUGAAGUCGUAACAAGGUAACCGUAGGGGAACCUGCGGUUGGAUCACCUCCUUA